CCACCCUACACUAUGCUACUAACUCAACUUUUAGCCAUACUCUAGUGAAGGCAAUCACAUCCCCACUUUCUGCCAAUCUUCAUUUACAACAGCCGAACCAUUUGGAAAUUUGCUUGAAACUCUAAGCUUCCCACAAAACUCUUCUUCAUCCCUGAAGUGCGCAGCUGCCAUAGCUUGAUUCCAGCAACCUGGAUAUUCAGAUAUUUCCUCCAUUUCAGAUUUGAGAAAUUCACAAGUCAUAAAGGCUUUAAGCAUCAGGAGGAUUAGCACUGCUAUUCCGAUUCAGAGAUAAGGUUAAACGACAGGCUUUGCCUAUACAGGUUGGCUGGCCGGUGCUGACGGGACGGAGCUGAGGCUAGAGUUAAAUUCCUAUGAUAGACUUCCGCUGUAGCAAUUACUCAUAUCGGUCUUUUGUUUUCCCAACUUAAGAUCUUCAUGUUAAAUUUCAAAUGAUAUACCUGACCGAGCUUAGACUCUUCACUACUAAAUUUAUGCUAAUGAAUGUCGGUUGUCAGAAGCAUGAAACAAAACUUGUGAUCCAAAGGGGCAUAGCCCGACUUUCUAUCAUAUUUCGGCUUUUAACAAGAUUUUUUCCUUGUUUAUUUCUA